CAUCCUGAUGAUCUCAUGUAUUUCGCUGUGUUCUUACUGAAUUCCCAUGUCGAACAUAUAUCACCUUGGAGAACUGAAAU
rnacentral:snoRNA from 1 species